rnacentral:rRNA from 1 species
UAUAGGAUAGCCACUAGAAAUGGUGGGUAAUACUGUAUAAUCCCUGCGGGGGAAAGAUUUAUCGCUACUAGAUGAGCCUAUGUCAGAUUAGCUAGUUGGUGGGGUAAUGGCCCACCAAGGCUGUGAUCUGUAGCUGGUCUGAGAGGAUGAUCAGCCACACUGGAACUGAGACACGGUCCAGACUCCUACGGGAGGCAGCAGUGGGGAAUAUUGGACAAUGGGCGCAAGCCUGAUCCAGCUAUGCCGCGUGAGUGAGGAAGGCCUUAGGGUUGUAAAACUCUUUCAGUAGGGAAGAUAAUGACGGUACCUACAGAAGAAGUCCCGGCAAACUCCGUGCCWGCAGCCGCGGUAAUACGGAGGGGGCAAGCGUUGUUCGGAAUUAUUGGGCGUAAAGGGCAUGUAGGCGGUUUGGUAAGUUAAAGGUGAAAUACCAGGGCUUAACCCUGGGGCUGCUUUUAAUACUGCAGGACUAGAGUCCGGA